rnacentral:rRNA from 1 species
CCUGAAACCGUGUGCUUACAAGUAGUCAGAGCCCGUUAAUGGGUGAUGGCGUGCCUUUUGUAGAAUGAACCGGCGAGUUACGAUUUGAUGCAAGGUUAAGCAGUAAAUGUGGAGCCGUAGCGAAAGCAAGUCUGAAUAGGGCGUUUAGUAUUUGGUCGUAGACCCGAAACCAGGUGAUCUACCCUUGGUCAGGUUGAAGUUCAGGUAACACUGAAUGGAGGACCGAACCGACUUACGUUGAAAAGUGAGCGGAUG